GAAGGUCGCUGGGUCAGUUGGCAUUUCAGUGUGAAGUUUGUAUGUUCUCCCUGUGUUAGCGUAGGUUUCCUCCGUAGGCUCCAGUUUCCCCCACAAGUCCAAAGACAUGCGCUACAGGUGAAUUGAAUAAGCUAAAUUGUCCAUAGUGUAUGUGUGAAUGAGUGUGUGUGGAUGUUUCCCCGAGAUGGGUUGCAGCAGGAAGGGCAUCUGCUGCAUAAAACAUAUGCUGGAUAAGUUGGCGGUUCAUUACGCUGUGGCAACCCCAGAUUAAUAAAGGGACUAAGCCGAAAAGAAAAUGAAUGAAUGAAUGUCGAUUUUUUUCAUAUUUUUUUUUAUUGUAAAUCUCUAGAAAGUGUUUUUGGUACAUCAAAAAGUGUGGUUAUGAUUACUAUCCAAAAAGCUAAUUUAGUUAAAAAUUUUGCUUUAAAUGUCACAAAAUGAAUCAUUUGAAUUUCCAAAUUAAAUAGAACAUGAGGCGUAUAACUGCAAAAAGGUUCACUUUUUGGGAAAAAAGAACCACCCUUUAUACCAGGCUGGCUAUGGGCCUAUAUGCUGGUAAGUUAUGUUUGAUGCUGCCCUUGGUGGUCUCAAUGCUGGUUCUUGCUGGUUCUGGCCAGCUUUGGGACCAGUGUUAAAACCAGCAUCAAAACAUACCUUACCAGCAGCUGUUUUUUUUAGCAGAAAAACUAAAAAAUUUUCAUGUUUUUAUUUUUUAUUUUUUUUUAAUAGGCUUUGCAAUUGGCUUGACUAUUUGAAUUCCUGAAUUAUUUUUAAGGGCAUUCUUUUCUUUUCUAGUAGGUUUAACUCUAAGGAAGACAGCAACACCCAAGACAUCCCCAACCUAGCCCCUACUGCCACCACAAGGUUCAAAAAGCUUGAGGAAGAGAAGCUGAUGUGUCUUGAUGGAGAAGAGAGGGAAGCUGAGAACAGAGCUGGAACGACUGCUGGACUUGUUGUGUCUGCCCGUCCUCAUGCAUACAUCAAGUUUCAUUAUUGUUAAAAUUAUUUUUAACAGUUACUUUUUUAAUACAGAGACACUUAUGGUACUGUAAUAUUGUUACAGAAAAGGUAGGAAAGUGGAGGACUAUAUCCUCGACAUCAGCGAUUUCUUCAUCCUCCUCUUCUUCCUUCCUCUAUUGAAAAAAAAGAAGAGGUUCCUUUGUAUAGAAAACUGUGCGAAACAUCGUUUGAGAGAAUGACCACCCCAGAACAGGUGACUCACAGAUACAAGCUUGUUCUCAAAAUGUACAAAACAAAUCCUGUGUUCCUGAGUGCUUAAAGAGGCACACGGUGGAGAAAUCUACCUUGGCCCUGUCAAGCAUAAUUGCAGAGAGAAAGGCCUUUUGGAAGACUUUGAAAGUCUGAAGAAAGAAUAUAACCUGGAUAAAUCUGAUUUUUAUAGAUACCUUCAAUUACAUAUCCACUUUGAAAACAAUAUUAAAGGUGGCAAUUGCAUCAGAGGGAAAGCAGUUCCAAAUUCUUCCAUAUGUCAAUGGAGCAACCCUCCAAAGUUACACCAAAGAUUUGAAUCAGUUCCUGCCCCAAUCUCCAGAAAAAAAUGGACAAAAUGAAGAAGGAACACAAACUGUUGCCAAUAAAAAAUAAGUUCAGGCAUUAAAUCUUUCUUUCUUUCUUUCUUUCUUUCUUUCUUUCUUUCUUUCUUUCUUUC